rnacentral:snRNA from 1 species
CGGCAUCAGCGUGCUCCG